rnacentral:misc_RNA from 1 species
AACUUUCGGCAACGGAUCACUAGGCUCUUGCAUCGAUGAAGAACGCAGCGAAAUGCGAUAAGUAAUGCGAAUUGCAGAAUUUCCGUGAGUCAUCGAAUCUUUGAACGCACAUUGCGCCCUUUGGUAUUCCGAAGGGCAUGCCUGUUCGAGCGUCAUUAUCCCCCCUCAAACCUCGGGUUUGGUGUUGGAUCGUGUCGAUCGUGUCGAUCGACUGGUCUCAAAGACAAUGACGGUGUCCGUGGGGCCCUCGACGCAACGAGCUUUUUCUCCGAAGCACGCGUCGAGUUGCAAGGACCCUCCGGGCCGGUCUUUACACCUCUUUGGGUGAUUUCUUUCUAAGGUUGACCUCGGAUCAGGUAGGAAUACCCGCUGAACUUAAGCAUAUCAAUAAGCGGAGGAU